rnacentral:rRNA from 1 species
CGAGAAUUUUUCACAAUGGGCGCAAGCCUGAUGGAGCGACGCCGCGUGGGGGAUGAAUGGCUUCGGCCCGUAAACCCCUGUCAUUUGUGACCAAACCGCGUUAUUUAAAAGAUGGCGCGCUGAUGGUAGCGAAAGAGGAAGGGACGGCUAACUCUGUGCCAGCAGCCGCGGUAAUACAGAGGUCCCGAGCGUUGUUCGGAUUCACUGGGCGUAAAGGGUGCGUAGGUGGUGGGGUAAGUCGGAUGUGAAAGCUCGGAGCUCAACUCCGAAAAGGCAUUGGAAACGGCCCUGCUAGAGGGUCGGAGGGGGGACUGGAAUUCUCGGUGUAGCAGUGAAAUGCGUAGAUAUCGAGAGGAACACCAGUGGCGAAGGCGAGUCCCUGGACGACACCUGACACUGAGACACGAAGGCCAGGGGAGCAAA